AUUAAUAAGCGGAGGAAAAGAAACUAACAAGGAUUCCCUCAGUAACGGCGAGUGAAGCGGGAAAAGCCCAGCACCGAAUCCGCCGCCGUUUUCGGCGGCCGGAACUGUGGUGUUAAGGACAGCCUAUGGGGAUCGGUCGGGAGUCUGAGUCCUCUUGAUCGGGGCUUCACCCAGAGCGGGUGUCAGGCCUCUACGGCGCUCGACCGGUUCUCUAAGGUCGUCCUAAGAGUCGGGUUGUUUGAGAUUGCAGCCCAAAGCGGGUGGUAAACUCCAUCUAAGGCUAAAUACAGACACGAGUCCGAUAGCGCACAAGUACCGUGAGGGAAAGUU
rnacentral:rRNA from 1 species